ACUGGAACUGAGACACGGUCCAGACUCCUACGGGAGGCAGCAGUAGGGAAUUUUCCACAAUGGGGGCAACCCUGAUGGAGCAACGCCGCGUGCAGGAUGAAGGCCUUCGGGUUGUAAACUGCUUUUCUCUGUGAUGAUUCUGACAGUAGCAGAGGAAUAAGGAUCGGCUAACUCCGUGCCAGCAGCCGCGGUCAUACGGAGGAUCCAAGCGUUAUCCGGAAUUACUGGGCGUAAAGAGUUGCGUAGGCGGUCCGUCAAGCAAGACAUGAAAUAGUGUGGCUCAACCAUACUGCUAUGUUUUGAACUGUCGGACGAGAGGAUGAGAGAGGUCACUGGAAUUCCAAGUGUAGGAGUGAAAUCCGUAGAUAUUUGGAGGAACACCGAUGGCGUAGGCAGGUGACUGGCUCAUUCCUGACGCUCAGGCACGAAAGCGUGGGGAGCAAAUGGGAUUAGAUACCCCAGUAGUCCACGCUGUAAACUAUGGAUGCUAGCUGUACACCGUAUCGACCCGGUGUGUAGCGAAGCUAACGCGUUAAGCAUCCCGCCUGUGGAGUACGAGCGCAAGCUUAAAACAUAAAGGAAUUGACGGGGACCCGCACAAGCGGUGGAGCGUGUUGUUUAAUUCGAUGGUAAACGAAGGACCUUACCCAGGCUUGAAAUCCCGAUAGCCGAUUUCCGAAAGGAAAUUUUCAUUUAGUUGGAUCGGUGACAGGUGUUGCAUGGCCGUCGUCAGCUCGUGUCGUGAGAUGUUGGGUUAAGUCCCGCAACGAGCGCAACCCCUAUGUUCAGUUGGAUUUUUCUGAACAGACUGCCCUGGUAACAGGGAGGAAGGAGGGGAUGAUGUCAGGUCAGUAUUACCCUUACGUCUGGGGCUACAAACACGCUACAAUGGCCGGUACAAAGGGCUGCCAAGUCGCGAGACGGAGCAAAUCCCAUCAAAGCCGGUCUCAGUUCGGAUUGCAGGCUGAAACUCGCCUGCAUGAAGCUGGAAUCGCUAGUAAUGGUAGGUCAGCUAUACUACCAUGAAUACGUUCCCGGGUCUUGUACACACCGCCCGUCAAGCCAUGAAAGUGGCCAACACCCGAAGUCCGCAUCCGCGGCCUAAGGUGGGGGACAUGAUUGGGGUU
rnacentral:rRNA from 1 species